CCUACGGGUGGCAGCAGUGGGGAAUAUUGGACAAUGGGGGCAACCCUGAUCCAGCCAUGCCGCGUGUGUGAAGAAGGCCCUCGGGUUGUAAAGCACUUUCAGUGAGGAAGAACGCCUGGUGGUUAAUACCCAUCAGGAAAGACAUCACUCACAGAAGAAGCACCGGCUAACUCCGUGCCAGCAGCCGCGGUAAUACGGAGGGUGCGAGCGUUAAUCGGAAUUACUGGGCGUAAAGCGCGCGUAGGUGGCUUGAUAAGCCGGUUGUGAAAGCCCCGGGCUCAACCUGGGAAUGGCAUCCGGAACUGUCAAGCUAGAGUGCAGGAGAGGAAGGUAGAAUUCCCGGUGUAGCGGUGAAAUGCGUAGAGAUCGGGAGGAAUACCAGUGGCGAAGGCGGCCUUCUGGACUGACACUGACACUGAGGUGCGAAAGCGUGGGUAGCAAACAGGAUUAGAUACCCUAGUAGUC
rnacentral:rRNA from 1 species